rnacentral:rRNA from 1 species
UACGAAGGGUGCAAGCGUUACUCGGAAUUACUGGGCGUAAAGCGUGCGUAGGCGGUUUGUUAAGUCCGUUGUGAAAGCCCUGGGCUCAACCUGGGAAUUGCAGUGGAUACUGGCGAGCUAGAGUGCGGUAGAGGAUGGUGGAAUUCCCGGUGUAGCGGUGAAAUGCGUAGAGAUCGGAAAGAACACCAACGGCGAAAGCACUCUGCUGGGCCGACACUGACACUGAGAGACGAAAGCUAGGGGAGCGAAUGGG